UACGAAGGGUGCAAGCGUUACUCGGAAUUACUGGGCGUAAAGCGUGCGUAGGUGGUGAGUUAAGUCUGUCGUGAAAGCCCCGGGCUCAACCUGGGAAUGGCGAUGGAUACUGGCUCGCUAGAGUGCGGUAGAGGAGAGUGGAAUUCCCGGUGUAGCGGUGAAAUGCGUAGAGAUCGGGAGGAAUACCGGUGGCGAAAGCGGGUCUCUGGGCAGUAACUGACGCUGAGGAGCGAAAGCGUGGGGAGCGAACAGG
rnacentral:rRNA from 1 species